rfam:Pteropus alecto contig81725, whole genome shotgun sequence.
ACAAAGGCUCUUCUUAGAGCUACAUUGUACUGAUUAGAAAAGUUG